rnacentral:tRNA from 1 species
CUCUGAGUGGUGUAGAUGGUUAACGCGUUUGGCUGCUAACCUAACAGUUGGAGGUUCAAGUCCACCCAGAGA